AUAGCAGACGUCAUGGCACAGGAUGACGUCAGCAACAGUAGCUACGUAGAUGUCAACAUAACGUUUGCAAAUACGUCAGAAGUUGGGCUCGACACUGAUUUAGAACUGCCCAACCGCCUCUGGUCAGGGAGCCGACUGGGUGGUUACUGCUGCGGCAAUUUUCUCAACGGCAUAUGCACUUUCGUCUCCUCCGAGUGUGUCAACUGCACCUGUUCUUGCAUACAGGGCUACACCUACGUGGAAGGUGCUAUCGGCAGGGUGCGAGGAGGUAACGAGCGAAGGGGAAUCUUCACCUGCUGUUGAAGGGAGUGACAAGCUUCCUCUGGAGGCGUGUGAGGAGAAGAGCCAGUGUGUCGAGGGCUUGGACUGCCUCGAUGGCGUCUGCGCUUGUCCGUCGCCCUGCGAGUACGUCCCCGAGCAGCUGGUAUGUGACUGCGGGCCCCAGGACACCCCGUGGUGGCCCAUCGUCAUCGGAGUCCUACUCGGGUUCCUGAUCGUGUCCUUCUGGAUCCGAACCAUUGCGGAAAUGAUUGAGAAGCACAAGAGAUGCCGUAAUAACAAGGUGGCUCAGAUGACGCGGUCUGUGUCCGGUAUAUCCACCCUGGGCGCUGCAUAUGGCACUGAUCACGUGACCUUUCAGCCGCUAUCCAAAAAUUAUUCCCAGACUUCUCACCUGGCUGUGGCACCCACGUCUCCCC